rnacentral:tRNA from 1 species
GGAGACGUGGCCGAGUGGCUGAAGGCGGCACCCUGCUAAGGUGUUAUACGGUGUCAAACCGUAUCGUGGGUUCGAAUCCCACCGUCUCCGCCA